CAUUGACCCUCGCGCGGUUUCGCAUCGUACGUUGCUGAAUUUAUUGUGUCUGUAGAUUUGUGGGUCACUGUACUAGCUGACGUCAAAUUGGGGGCCCAGACGACGAUGACGUCAUCUUAUCAAAUUAUACUAGCCGGUGAUUCUAGUUCUAUUUUAUAAUAACGUGUUCACAAAACGAGUACUAUGAAUUAUAAUAGCCGCCCUAAUCUGACCUGACUUAGUUUGAAUAAUAGUGUAAGUAAUCGUGUCUAUCAUGUGUGCCGAGGUCAUUGCUAUUUGUUUAUUUUUUUGUUAAUUCAAGGGCGUCCUCGCGGCCGGCACGAGUAAUCAUCGACGCGUCGCGUCGCAAAUAAAUAUUUUUUGUUGUGUUUGUGUUUAGUGUAGGAAGGCACCUUACAGUUUAAAGGCCUCUAUCAACCGUGAACUACUAUUCCACAAGUGUGUAGUUAUUAAUAACAAAUAUUAAUUGAACAUUAAUAGCAAUACGCGACUCCAUCGUAAAGAUUCUUGUCUAUUGUCGCGGAGGUUUUCGACCUUUGCAAAAUGCGCGGCGCGUCGCAUAUUCAAUAGAACACAAACUGUUUUUUUUUUCUUACUAUAGACACGUCUGGCCCUGGUGUGAGCUGGUGUCACAGAUGUGGCUAUUAUAGAGUGUUAUGUAGUGGAGGUUGUAGCGCGCUUUUUGAAAAUUGUAACGCAAUUUUUAGUACUUUUUUAUUGUACGUAGUUUUUAUUGUAAUUGAAGUAAAAAAACUAGACACACAUAAGUAGAUGUUAAAGUUCCCUACCUUUGCAUAAAUAAAAAUAUUCACAACACGUUUAGUAUGCUGAAGUCUUGAUUUUACUUCAGUGCAGCAUCACUGCAGCAACAGCAUGCAGCCAAGUUCACGUUGCUGCCAUGGAUUUCAUGACAGUUACAUAAUUCGAAUAAUAACACUACCACGCACACAUGCACUAUUGUGAAUCAAUAUAGAGUUCCUCAUUUCUAAUUUUCCAACGUUUACAUAGUGCGUCGAAGACCGGCCUCUUGAAUAUGUGGAUCAUUAACUGGGGGCGUUAGUUUUAGCGUGUUGCCAAUCAAACGUAAUGAUGACGUAUCAACAAGAAUAACAAGUCAUGUAGUUGUAGUAGUGUGCGUACUUCCUUCUAUUCGCGAAAAGCGGUAGAGUUGAUCUAUUCUUGCUUCUAUUGGUUCACAAUUAGGAAUUCUUAGCGUUCCUACGCUUUAAAAUCUCUAAGCGAUGAACUAAAUCCUUGACUUCUAAUAUUAUUGCAUACUACUGUGAGUAGGUAAUGCUAAUUGACAUAGAUAAUGUGCAACGGACCUACGUAAGAUGCUAAAAGUACAUCCAAAUCUUGUACUCAUAGAUAUAAAAAAAAAAAACUGGCAAAAAGAUGAAUGAUACUGAUAUUCAUUAGUUAAGUAAUCCUUGCUGCUACAACCUACUUGUAAUGUUUCAGCGUCAUUAAUGUAGUUAUGAAACUUUUUACAAAGAUGGGUAGGUCAGGUUCAUUUCUGAAUGAGCCUUUGAGCUUUACGAGAAAAUUAGCAUCGUGGAACGCAAAUACCUACGCAAUAGCUCUAUAAGUAUUUAUCGAUAUGCAUGAGCGAAAAUGUCUUCUCUUAUUUUUACUGAUUUUCUUUAAUAUUAAUCGUUUAAAAAAAACUAAAGGUUAAAGGUCAAACCUAAUUAAAAUAAUGCUGUGUUGUGAGUCAAAUACUACCAAAACAGUGUGAUUUUUUUAAAUCAUAUUACACGUCAAUGAUUUUGUUUAGGCGGGAAAGCGUAACAAACAAAUUCACUUUCCCUUUGUAAAACUAUGAUUUUUUUAUGUUUUAGGAAACAUCAUUUUUUCUUUAUUUGUUAUAACUACACGAAAUUAUUUAACUUCAUGUAAAUUAUGUAUACCAACAGAGAUUUUUUUUAACGUUGAUUAGUCUGCCUUUGGCCACCAGCCUACUUACUGCCAGGACGAUGAAGCGAAGAUGUGGCUGAAGAUGGAGCACACAGACUUAGAAAGUACCUAUUCACUGUGACCAAAAUUAUGAGAUUGAGAUCAUCAAAAUCUGAUAUUGAGAAGUGGCCAAUGCAAGAGAAAUACUCAUUCUAAAUUGUUUUAAUAAACAAAGUCACUUCUAAAAUUAGCCGCAUUGACAUACGUACGGAGAAAUGAAGCAAACCACAGCAACCACAGAUCAACAGGUGCAGUCGACGUAAUUUGUGAAUUCUUUAAAGAAAUUCCCCGAGCAUUCUCAAGUGGCAUGCACACAUUUACAUAUGGAUAUCUAUGUCCGACUCGUCUCUUUGCGAGGGAUAGCAGUGCAAAAAAAUAUUGUGUAAAAAUAAUUAAAUAUCAAUUGGAUUAUUAAACCAGAAGAAUAUUGGUUUGUUUGAAAAAAUUACACAGAAACUCUUUGCCAAAAGUAUCCUGUUUUUACUAUUUACCUGUAAAAACUGCAUGGAAAUUAGAAUAUAAUUCAUUUUAAACUUACAAGUGGACUAAGAGCAAAAUGCGACAUGUAAAGUUUUAAAAAUGCGUUGCAGGAGAAAAAUACUUGCUGUGAAUAAUGCUUUCAGAACACAGUAUCGAAUUAACACCUUCAUGCUCAAUGUGUAAAGCCGACCAAAUCAAAAUCACACUUAAUGAAUUGAAUGAUCCACUGAUAGAAUGCACAAAAAUGGCUGCAGUGCGAGAAGAAUGCUAACAACUAAAAAGCUUGCUCUGAUGAUGGCCACUACAACUGCCAAGAAUGACACUAAAGAAAAUAUUAUAAAGUUCACUUAUUGUUACUUUAAAAUACGUAACACUAAAGGAAAGAAAACUUAGUUAACUUAGACAUCAAACAGGAAUCUGGUUAGACAGACUGUCUGCCACCAAAGUUUGUUCACGACAAGAUAAUCCAGACAACUCCACUGGUUUGUUUACAAAUACUGGGCAAAGUGACGCCACAACACAACAAACUUUGUCUCUAGUGUUUCGUAUAUUUAGCGGCCUUUACAAUAAAAAAUGGUAUUACAAAAUUUCCAUUACAAAACUUACCUUAAUAGUGAAGAAUAGAAUCAAAUUUUGGCUUUAUCCUUCAAAGCGAAAAUACUGUAUCACCACGUUGUAAAUAACACAAAAAAUAUUAAGUUAACACCAACAAACUUAAAAAUUAAAACAAUGUAUAAAAUUUUAACGUUCAAAACUCUAUUUUUUAACUUGGUCUCAACUUUUUGGUCACACUCAUUUGGCAAUCUACUUAAGAAUAAAAUGUGAAUAAGAUUACGUGUAAUUGCACCAAAUAAAAUUUACAAUUCAAAAUUGGAAUUGGAUCGUCCCAUAGGACUGACCCUAUUUAACCUCAACAAUUGGGGUUUCUUAGUGGAAAAUAAAAGAACAAGAAUUGUCACUGGUCGUAAAAGAUUACUCUCACCUAUCACAAUUUCUCCCCAUUGUUCGGACAUCCAUUAAUUUUUUUAUUUCUUUAUGCCGUGGCAACGGGUUUGUCUGCUCUCCGAACAAAAGCAGAAUGGCUGAAAAGACGGCACGGUUAAAUUAUACAAUUCAUAAGACGGGUCCGAACGGAUGUAUGGAAAGUUCGAAAGGAACCUAUCCAGACAGGAGGGUGAAAGGUCUAAAUUCAUUGUGACAUCUGACCUCUCCUAUGCGUCUAUUAUGUAUCUAGGUUAUUUUGUGAAUAGGGGGCAUCUAUCUUUAAUUUAUUCACAAACCCUUAAUCUUUCUUUUUUGCUGAACGAUUGAUCCAAUGCAAAACUUUCUCACAAGAUGAAAGGGAUUCUUUUGAGUGAUUCCUGUUAUAACUUGCAGAUAAGGGGCCAACUGUGAUAAUAGUAGACAAACAGAAUUCGCAAUGUGGCAUUUAUUUCUGUUACUAAGUAAAUAUUUUAUUUACAUACCUACCUGUGUCAUUUUUAAAAGCCCCUAUACGUUUCUCAUUCCGUAUUUUUAAAGUACCUACUAAACGAGUACAUUUCAUAAACGUUACUAACAUGUAACACAUCCUAUUUGAAAAUAUUUUAACGCGUAACUAAACAAUAGAAAACUUAAUCUUGUUAAAUAAAAGUUCAAGUGGCACUUGUGUUAGAAAGCCAUUCAUCAAUUUCUGCGAUGCUCGAUACCAACCGCAACGAAGCUCCCAUGAAAGCUAGUCUUAGAAAUAAAAGCUAAUAAGUCCAAACACACGUUUGAAAGGCCUAUUCAGUUCUAUAAGCGUAGUACCACCCUACCAUUAAGAAAAAUCCAGUUGGGCCGCAACUUAGCAUGGGAAUGUUCAGGGGGUCAACGCCAUUCGUUUCGCGUACUUGUCCUGAGUAAGCAGUGCGUAUUAUUAUUUCGAUAGAUGUUUUUAUUUUAGGGUCUGAGAUCCGGUCUGAGCGCCCCCUCGCCGCCUUGCGGCCGGCUGACGGUGUCGGUCGUCUCGGCUUAUGCUCCAUUCGGUAUAUCGUCUUGUGAUGUACCUACACGACAAUUUCGUGUCAAAGAUGCAUUUCAAUUUAAAAUCUUCAUACUUGUCAUAAUUUUAUUAUGUUUAAAGUAUAGGUACAUAAAAGCAGAAACAGUAUUAAAACGUGGUAAAAUGUUGAAGGUCGAGACGAUUUAGUAAUGUUUGUUUGAACAUGUUUUAGUGCAUUACAAAUUAUCAGUUGGUCACCAGCAAGCAAGUUUUAGUACAUUAAAGAUAUAACGAGAUCUAAAUAUAAAACUAUAAAUCUAGGCUACUGAGAUACGGAAAGAGUAAAGACCGAUAAUGGUGCGUGUAAUAAGGUGACUAGUUAGACUGUAAAAUAUAUUUCAAGAUCAGACAGUAGGUACGCUUGUUAUGUCAAGAAAUGUUCCCAAAUAAAAGAUGGUCGAAUGUGCAAUACACCUCGACUCGACCGGUUCUUUCGAUCAAUCUCAGCCAUUGAAAUCGCGAAAGCUAUGGCCGGUGCGAAUUUCACACCAGUCUAGUCUAGACUCUAAUAAUGUCGCAAUAGGCAACCUAGGUCUGCUCGAUGCCUAGAACUGUGAGAAUAAAUAACGGGCCGCAACGCAUGAUUGAGCUCACUCGUUUUCUUACAAUCCAGUUUACAGUACAUUCAUGUGAAAAAUAUUGUAAAUUGUUAUGCAAUACUAGCUUUUGCCCGCGACUUCGUUCGCGUGGAAUAGUGACUUCCGGCAAAGGAGAUUGUCCAAAACUGGCUAUUUUUGAACAGGCUGCUCAACAAAAAUGUAAUUUACCAAUAAUUUUAUUUAUAUUUUAGUAAAUGUCUGAUCCUAAUAACUUUGUAUCAAUUAGCAGUAUAAAAAAUCACAUUUAUUUUAGUAUUUGUUAUGAUAACCAAGUCAGUUGACUUUGAAUUUGACUUCAGUGCUGUCAAUCUGUUGUGUUUUUCGUCAAAAUGACAGAUAUUAUUCGCUUUGUUCUUUUGCAUUGUGAGUGUUGUUUUUCUAAGUCUUCAAUGGAUUCUGAUUCUUCACUACUACUACCUACUAUGGCUAACACAUAAGAGGCGAUGGUUCCUAUACGAUUGAAUUAUGCAGAAAUACUGCCAGCAGCCUACUGGAAGGUUUCCCGCUCCCUUCAGUCAACUGAAGUUUAUUGCGUGGGAAAAUACAUAGUAGACACAUUAGUAGAAAAACAUAUUUUGUAUAUAUAUUAUAUGAGAAUAACACUGAAGGGAGGGCAGCUAUAAAACAAUAUUGCUGCAACUGCAUGGUGGGCCGUAGAACAGUAGAUUGCUGUGCACAUAUAAUGACUAUUAUUUGGUUAUUGAGCUGGGCAAGGUACCAGAAAAAUAUUAAUCCACCUGCCCAGUUGCUAGACCAUAUUUUAAUUACAUUUGAAUGAGAUUAAUAAAGAAUUUUAAUAAAAAAAUGUUUUAUUUCAUGCAUAAACAGCUUCAAUAAAAUGUAAAAAAAAACUAAAUAUAAAUCUGGAUACAAAACUAAGUUUGUAUCUUCAUUCUUACUGAUAUGAACUAUUAAAUCAAACAUAUAUUAUUAACUAAACUGCUUGUUCAAAAAUAGCCAAAGUCCCAUACAAAUUGGUCAAUCUCCUUUUGGUUUUAACCACAUAGUUCCCGAUCUCGCGGAAUCUCUUCAAAAAUGAGAUGUAUAAGAUAUUCCAGGGAACUCUUCAAAAAUCAACAUAAUGAGCUCUGCGUUUGAAUUUAAUAGAUGUAUACUCACUUAGGGCAUUGAAAAAAUAGUUUAAAAACGGACUUAAACUAAAGAUUUUUGAAAUAAAAACUAUCCUAUGUCCUUUCUAAGGUUCUAAACUAUAUCUGUACCAAAUUUCAACCAAAUCCGUCAAAUAGUUGCGGAGAUUAAUGGUAUAAGCAUAGAAUAGUGUUCGACGUGAUUCUUUAAUUUGACAUAACUUUUUUAUUUAUGAACCAAUUGACAUGAAACAAACACUAAAUGUUAAUUGAAGCCUACCACAAUAUAUUCGUGAAAACCGCAUCCAAUUCGGAUCAGCCGUUUCUGAGAUUAGCGCGCAUAGACGCACAGACAAACAGACAAA